CUACGGGUCGCACCAGUAGGGAAUAUUGGGCAAUGGGGGAAACCCUGACCCAGCAACGCCGCGUGAGGGAAGAAGGUUUUCGGAUUGUAAACCUCUGUCCUUGGGGGAGAAAAAAAUGACGGUACCCAAGGAGGAAGCUCCGGCUAACUACGUGCCAGCAGCCGCGGUAAUACGUAGGGAGCAAGCGUUGUCCGGAAUUACUGGGCGUAAAGGGUGUGUAGGCGGCAUGUUAAGUCAGAUGUGAAAUGUAGGGGCUCAACCCCUGAACUGCAUUUGAAACUGGGAAGCUUGAGUGCGAGAGAGGUAAGUGGAAUUCCUAGUGUAGCGGUGGAAUGCGUAGAUAUUAGGAGGAACACCAGUGGCGAAGGCGACUUACUGGCUCGUAACUGACGCUGAGACACGAAAGCGUGGGGAGCAAACAGGAUUAGAUACCCGCGUAGUC
rnacentral:rRNA from 1 species